UACGUAGGGGGCAAGCGUUGUCCGGAAUCAUUGGGCGUAAAGCGCGUGUAGGCGGUUCGGUAAGUCGGUUGUGAAAGUCCAGGGCUCAACCCUGGGAUGCCGCGAUACUGCGGACUAGAGUUCGGAAGAGGCGAGUGGAAUUCCCGGUGUAGCGGUGAAAUGCGCAGAUAUCGGGAGGAACACCAAUGGCGAAGGCAGCUCGCUGGGACGUUACUGACGCUGAGACGCGAAAGCGUGGGGAGCAAACAGG
rnacentral:rRNA from 1 species